GGGGGAUAUUGCGCAAUGGGGGCAACCCUGACGCAGCAACGCCGCGUGAAGGAUGAAGGUUUUCGGAUUGUAAACUUCUUUUAUUAAGGACGAAAAAUGACGGUACUUAAUGAAUAAGCUCCGGCUAACUACGUGCCAGCAGCCGCGGUAAUACGUAGGGAGCAAGCGUUGUCCGGAUUUACUGGGUGUAAAGGGUGCGUAGGCGGCUUUGCAAGUCAGAUGUGAAAUCUAUGGGCUCAACCCAUAAACUGCAUUUGAAACUGUAGAGCUUGAGUGAAGUAGAGGCAGGCGGAAUUCCCCGUGUAGCGGUGAAAUGCGUAGAGAUGGGGAGGAACACCAGUGGCGAAGGCGGCCUGCUGGGCUUUAACUGACGCUGAGGCACGAAAGCGUGGGGUAGCAAACAGGAUUAGAUACCCUGGUAGUCCACGCUGUAAACGAUGAUUACUAGGUGUGGGGGGUCUGACCCCUUCCGUGCCGGAGUUAACACAAUAAGUAAUCCACCUGGGGAGUACGGCCGCAAGGUUGAAACUCAAAGGAAUUGACGGGGGCCCGCACAAGCAGUGGAGUAUGUGGUUUAAUUCGAAGCAACGCGAAGAACCUUACCAGGUCUUGACAUCCAACUAACGAAGUAGAGAUACAUUAGGUGCCCUUCGGGGAAAGUUGAGACAGGUGGUGCAUGGUUGUCGUCAGCUCGUGUCGUGAGAUGUUGGGUUAAGUCCCGCAACGAGCGCAACCCUUGCUAUUAGUUGCUACGCAAGAGCACUCUAAUAGGACUGCCGUUGACAAAACGGAGGAAGGUGGGGACGACGUCAAAUCAUCAUGCCCCUUAUGACCUGGGCUACACACGUACUACAAUGGAUGUUAACAGAGGGAAGCAAGACAGCGAUGUGGAGCAAACCCCUAAAAACAUUCUCAGUUCAGAUUGCAGGCUGCAACCCGCCUGCAUGAAGAUGGAAUUGCUAGUAAUCGCGGAUCAGCAUGCCGCGGUGAAUACGUUCCCG
rnacentral:rRNA from 2 species